UCCAAGGUAGCAGCUGAGAUCGUAUUGAGAUGAUGAAUCUUAAAUUGUUAUGGAUAUUGCUCAUUACAUCACUGUUUUUCAUACAAGGGUGGCCUCAGACCCAGGGGUGCUAGGAGCAGGAGAGAGUUGCUCUCUUACAACUCCAUUCAGUUUUCGAUGUUAGUGAUUGGAUAACCGAGAAAGAUUCGAAUUGUUGUCAUUGGGAUUAUAUUGAAUGCCACAAUAUCAGUGGACGAGUGAAAGUACUCACUCUUCCUCCCAAAUGGCGCCAGGGAGAUUCAUCUUGGUAUCUCGAUGUCUCUUUAUUUUUCCCUUUUGAAGAAUUGAAGAGUCUUGAUUUAUCCCUUAAUGGAAUAAAGGAUUUUAUUGAUAACAAAGUACCUUUAUCAUCUGCCUUCAGCAAUUUGGAAAUCCUUAAAUUAUCUUUCAAUGAUUUCCAUGACGGUAUUUUAUCAAAAGUGAAGAGUCUACCAAACUUGAAGAUAUUGGAUUUAAGGAACAAUUCAAUCGAAAGUCUCCAGCAUUUACAAGAGAUGAAUUUGGAAGAGCUUGACUUGGGUGGGAAUAGAUUGAAGAACAAUGAUCUGACAUAUAUCAAGGGGCUAAGUAUAAAGUCCUUGAAUAUUGGAGGAAACCUACUGCAAGGAUCAAUAGAUAUUGG